ACUUAAAUAGCUUAUUUAGAGCAUAAUAUUGAAGAUAUUAAGGUAAUUUUUAUUUUUAGGUA
rnacentral:tRNA from 1 species